CAUACAUAUAAUAUAUUAACACAUACAAUAAAAUAAAAUAAAGAAUGAAUUUAUCAUUCGCUGGUUGCGGGUUUCUAGGCAUCUAUCAUGUGGGCGUGGCAGUGUGCUUCAAGAAAUAUGCUCCACAUCUAUUGCUCGAGAAGAUUGGAGGAGCUUCAGCUGGUUCCUUGGCCGCCUGCUGCCUGCUCUGCGAUUUGCCAUUGGGCAGCAUGACAUCCGAUUUCUUUCGUGUCGUUAAUGAAGCUCGUCGAUACUCUCUGGGUCCAUUUAGCCCCUCGUUCAAUAUACAAACAUGUCUGCUGGAGGGCCUACAGAAACACUUGCCCGAUGAUGCACACAAGCGAGUAAACGGGCGUCUGCACAUUUCGCUGACCCGAGUUUACGAUGGCAAGAACGUUAUCAUCUCCGAGUUUGAGUCACGGGAAGAGGUCUUACAGGCGUUGCUGUGUGCCUGCUUCAUACCUGGAUUCUCCGGCAUAUUGCCUCCCCGUUUCCGCGGUGUGCGCUACAUGGAUGGGGCUUUCUCCGACAACUUGCCCAUUUUGGAUGAGAACACCAUCACAGUUAGUCCCUUUUGCGGCGAAAGUGACAUUUGCCCGCGGGACCAGAGCUCACAGUUGUUUCAUCUGAACUGGGCCAAUACUAGCAUCGAAAUAUCCCGACAGAACAUCAACCGUUUCGUACGGAUUCUCUUUCCACCGCGACCUGAAUUCUUGUCGAAAUUCUGUCAGCAGGGUUUCGACGAUGCCCUUCAGUUCUUGCAUCGCAACAAUCUAAUAAAUUGCCGACGAUGCGUUGCAGUACAAUCCACAUUUGUGGUCUCUGAGACAGUGGCUCAGCCACAGGAAUUUGAUCCAGAGUGUCGAGAAUGCAAAAAGCAUAGAAAAGACGCUUUAAGUUCGAACAUGCCUCAAACGGUGCUGGAUGUCAUUCAGGAUUACAUCGAGCAGGCCAAUAAAGGUCUGGCCAAUUGGAUAUUUAAACAUCGUGGUAUCAAAUUACUAUCGCUGCCCGCUACUGUGCCCAUGGAUUUCUUCUUGGCCACAGUUUCCAAAAUCACCACUUUGACACCAAAGCUGACCAAACAGAUGCGACUGUUGGUCGAGGAGCUAAUAGUUCAAUUGAAUCAUGCCAUGCAAAUUCGUCUGCUGAAUAAGUUCACGUUAUACGAUCAACCUCACUUCGAUGCAACAGGACUGCUACAUUCGAGUCGGUUAUAUGGUCCCAGAGUAUCUAUAUUAGUUGACGAGUGCGGGGCCACAUCCCUAGAGGACGAUGUUGACAAUUUUGAGCAUGUGCUCAAAAUGACCACACAUAAUGAUGCUCUGUAUGCCUACUACUAUACAGACGACAAUACAAACAAGGUCAAAGUUACGGAAAUCUUUGAUUUUGAUGACAUGACGGAGCAUGACGAGUUGGCGACAGAUCCGCAGAUCUAUGAGGGUUCUGUAGAAGACAUUCCGAAUCCACAUCAGCAUAUGCACAACCAGGUGAUCAGCGAAUGGAAUGGCGUUGAAUCAGUUCAAAUUAUGCCCACGACUCCUGAACUUCACGACGUAGCAUUUUAGCGGCCCAAUCAAACCUAAAACACAUAUGUAUAUCUAUCUAUGUGUACACACAACACACCCACACUCACAGUCAUGACUCAAAGCACUCAAAAUUUUAGACUUCAAAAUCGCACAAAAACAUAAAGAAUAUUGAAAAACAAUAGUAUUUAAAAUAAUUGGCAGACUUUUUCAUCGACGCACAGACGCCUCCAAGCAGGUUAUCAGCUGAGUCAUCGCUUCAUUUCGUUGCC